rnacentral:rRNA from 1 species
AUACAUAGGUCCCAAGCGUUAUCCGGAUUUACUGGGCGUAAAGAGUCUGUAGCCUGAUAUGUAAGUCUGUUUUCAAAUACUCCGACUCAAUCGGAGAAAGGGGAUAGAUACUGCAUAUCUGGAAGUUAUUGGGGGUUAGUGGAAUUUCCGGUGGAGCGGUGAAAUGCGUUGAUAUCGGAAAGAACGCCGAAAGUGAAAACAGCUAACUACAAUAAACUUGACGGUCAGAGACGAAAGCUUGGGGAGCAAACGGGAUUAGAUACCCCGGUAGUCCAAGCUGUAAAUUAUGCAUGCUAGAUGUUUUGGACCCUUGUGGUCUGGAGUGUCGUAAUCUAACGAGUUAAGCAUGCCGCCUGGGUAGUAUAUUCGCAAGAAUGAAACUCAAAUGAAUUGGCGGGG